CCGUUUACAUAGUGUCACAGUACAUAAUUCAUUGAUUGCUAGCAUACAAUUCAUUUCAAAUCAAUCGGAUGAUGAGAAUUACAUCUCUGAUCAGUGUAGGUUGCUGAUCAGUUAUUCAUUGGCAAUCGGAAGAUGAGAAUUAUAUCUCUGAUCAGUGUAGGUUGCUGAUCAGUUAUUCAUCGGCAAUCGAACGGGGUGAUUUCAGCCCACAUUUCCCUCUGCCGCAACGUCUGCAUGUUGGAGAAAAAAAAAAAAUGAAAUUGCUGAUCCCGUGAUCAUCUUCUUGUUAAUCUGAGCAGCUCGGAUUAAUUGCCAUGUCAUGUCAUUUUAACUCAUGCGAGGGAUCGGGUAUGAACCCAACGCCAUUUGGAACGCGUGGACAUUCCCGUGAUCCCGAUCAACAUCAAUGCGCAGCGAAAUGACCAGAGGCCUUGAUCUUUUACAACAUCAAGUACGAAUUUUCCAAUGGCAUGCAGGAUGGUUCUUUCAUCACCAUGCUAGAAACUCGGACUAUCGAAACCGCACUCAUCCAGCAACAUGUUUAGACAGGGAUGUCAAGGGGUUGGGUCGGGUUGGACCGGGCCAGGUUUUCAUGAUACCCGGACCAACCCGAAACCUUACGGGCACACGUUUGACCCGACUCAAGACCUGAAUAUCAUAAAACCAAGAAAAUGGGUCGGGUUGUGUUGGGCUGCUGCCGACAUCUAAUAAUUCCUAUGGAUUAAGACCCAACCCCAAAAUAUUCUAAUUUUAGGGUCUGGCCUGACUUGGAUAAGGCCUUCGACACUCCUAGUUAAGAGGGCCAGCGGAGACCACGAGGACUAAAGCCAGACCAAAUUCACAAAUUCGGGGCUAAAACGAGAACAAAUUCACUCAUUCGGGGCUAAAUUGGAAACGGCAAAACAUGCUUACGACGCGAGAGAGAGAGAGAGAGA
rnacentral:lncRNA from 1 species